rnacentral:snoRNA from 2 species
ACCCUCUCAGGGUCUCAUCUGGAGAGUUUCCAGUACUCUACCAGUCUCCACUAUGGGAGGGAGAGUCAGGCAGAGGCUUACCCAUUCCACUCCUAGCUUGGGCAGUGGCUAGCAGGUGGAAGGCAAUCUGCUUCAAGU